GCCUGGGUGGCUCAGUUGGUUGAGCACCUGACUCUUGAUUUCAGCUCAGGUCAUGAUCUCAAAGUUGUGAGAUCAAGCCCCACUUUGGGUU
rnacentral:tRNA from 1 species